GACGAACGCUGGCGGCGUGCUUAACACAUGCAAGUCGAGCGGUAAGGCUCUUUCGGGGGUACACGAGCGGCGAACGGGUGAGUAACACGUGGGUGACCUGCCCUUAGCUCUGGGAUAAGCCUGGGAAACUGGGUCUAAUACCGGAUAUGACUCCAUGACGCAUGUUGUGGGGUGGAAAGCCUUGUGCGGCUAGGGAUGGGCCCGCGGCCUAUCAGCUUGUUGGUGGGGUGAUGGCCUACCAAGGCGACGACGGGUAGCCGGCCUGAGAGGGCGACCGGCCACACUGGGACUGAGACACGGCCCAGACUCCUACGGGAGGGCAGCAGUGGGGAAUCUUGCGCAAUGGGCGAAAGCCUGACGCAGCGACGCCGCGUGAGGGA
rnacentral:rRNA from 1 species